rnacentral:rRNA from 1 species
UGAGUAACCUGCCCUUAACUCUGGGAUAAGCCUGGGAAACUGGGUCUAAUACCGGAUAUGACUCCUCAUCGCAUGGUGGGGGGUGGAAAGCUUUUUUGUGGUUUUGGAUGGACUCGCGGCCUAUCAGCUUGUUGGUGUGGGUAAUGGCCCACCAAGGCGACGACGGGUAGCCGGCCUGAGAGGGUGACCGGCCACACUGGGACUGAGACACGGCCCAGACUCCUACGGGAGGCAG